rnacentral:rRNA from 1 species
CCUUAACAUCCAAGUCCGAAACGGCAGCCACGGGACUUUCGGGUCUGGGUGGCGAGUUGGCGAACGGGUGAGUAAUGUAUCGGAACGUGCCCAGUAGCGGGGGAUAACUACGCGAAAGCGUAGCUAAUACCGCAUACGCCCUACGGGGGAAAGCAGGGGAUCGUAAGACCUUGCACUAUUGGAGCGGCCGAUAUCGGAUUAGCUAGUUGGUGGGGUAACGGCUCACCGAGGCGACGAUCCGUAGCUGGUUUGAGAGGACGACCAGCCACACUGGGACUGAGACACGGCCCAGACUCCUACGGGAGGCAGCAGUGGGGAAUUUUGGACAAUGGGGGAAACCCUGAUCCAGCCAUCCCGCGUGUGCGAUGAAGGCCUUCGGGUUGUAAAGCACUUUUGGCAGGAAAGAAACGUCAUGGGUUAAUACCCCGUGAAACUGACGGUACCUGCAGAAUAAGCACCGGCUAACUACGUGCCAGCAGCCGCGGUAAUACGUAGGGUGCAAGCGUUAAUCGGAAUUACUGGGCGUAAAGCGUGCGCAGGCGGUUCGGAAAGAAAGAUGUGAAAUCCCAGAGCUUAACUUUGGAACUGCAUUUUUAACUACCGGGCUAGAGUGUGUCAGAGGGAGGUGGAAUUCCGCGUGUAGCAGUGAAAUGCGUAGAUAUGCGGAGGAACACCGAUGGCGAAGGCAGCCUCCUGGGAUAACACUGACGCUCAUGCACGAAAGCGUGGGGGAGCAAACAGGAUUAGAUACCCUGGUAGUCCACGCCCUAAACGAUGUCAACUAGCUGUUGGGGUCUUCGGACCUUGGUAGCGCAGCUAACGCGUGAAGUUGACCCCCUGGGGAGUACGGUCGCAAGAUUAAAACUCAAAGGAAUUGACGGGGACCCCCAC